CGGUCGCUUCACGGCGUGCACUGGUCCGGCUGGACCUUUCCUUCUGGGGAACCCUAUGGCCUUCACUGGCUGUAGGGGGAACCAGGACUUUUACUGUGAAAAAAUUAGAGUGUUCAAAGCAGGCCUUUGCUCGGAUACAUUAGCAUGGAAUAAUAGAAUAGGACGUGUGGUUCUAUUUUGUUGGUUUCUAGGACCGCCGUAAUGAUUAAUAGGGAUAGUCGGGGGCGUCAGUAUUCGGCUGUCAGAGGUGAAAUUCUUGGAUUUGCUGAAGACUAACUACUGCGAAAGCAUUCGCCAAGGAUGUUUUCAUUAAUCAAGAACGAAAGUUAGGGGAUCGAAGACGAUCAGAUACCGUCGUAGUCUUAACCAUAAACUAUGCCGACUAGGGAUCGGACGGGCAACUUUUAAUAACCCGUUCGGCACCUUACGAGAAAUCAAAGUUUUUGGGUUCUGGGGGGAGUAUGGUCGCAAGGCUGAAACUUAAAGAAAUUGACGGAAGGG
rnacentral:rRNA from 1 species